rnacentral:rRNA from 1 species
UCAAGCUAAAAAGAGCGCAAGGGGAAUGCCUUGGCAUCAGGAGCCGAAGAAGGACGUGACAAGCUGCGAAAAGCCUCGGGGAGGAGCAAAUAUCCAUUGAUCCGGGGAUAUCCGAAUGGGGCAACCCGGCUGGACAAUAUCCAGUCAUCCUGCGUUGAACAAAAUAGGCGUAGGAAGGGAACCGCCUGAACUGAAACAUCUAAGUAGGGCGAGGAAGAGACAUCAACCGAGAUUCCGCAAGUAGUGGCGAGCGAACGCGGAAGAGGCCAAACCGAGGGAUUUAUUCCUCGGGGUUGCGGACAGUCAUUUAGCGGAAGUUAUCUAGGAGAAGGGUCUGGGAAGGCCCGCCACAGAGGGUGAGAGCCCCGUAUCCGAAAGAGAAGGCCGUGCGACUGAAUCCAGAGUACCGCGGGACACGUGAAACCCCGUGGGAAACAGGGGGGACCACCCUCCAAGCCUAAAUACUACCUGAUGACCGAUAGAGGAGCAGUACCGUGAGGGAAAGGUGAAAAGGACCCCGGGAGGGGAGUGAAAGAGAACCUGAAACCUUGUGCUUACAAACAGUCAAAGGCCUACGGGCUGAUGGCGUACUUUUUGUAGAACGGUCCGGCGAGUUACUAAUGCCAGCGAGGUUAAGAUGUCAGAAGCAUCGGAGCCGAAGGGAAACCAAGUCUGAAUAGGGCGUAGAGUUGGUAUUAGUAGACCCGAAACCGGGUGACCUAUCCAUGUCCAGGUUGAAGGAACCGUAAAAGGUUUUGGAGGACCGAACACACAUGUGUUGAAAAACGUGGUGAUGAGGUGUGGAUAGCGGAGAAAUUCCAAUCGAACUCGGAGAUAGCUGGUUCUCCUCGAAAUAGCUUUAGGGCUAGCCUCGAGCUGGAGUCUAACGGAGGUAAAGCACUGAACUGACGCGGGGCCCAAAAAGGUUACCAACUCAUAUCAAACUAAGAAUGCCGUCAAGAUACCCUCGGGAGUCAGUCUGCGUGAGAUAAGUCGCGUGGACAAAAGGGAAAGAGCCCAGACCGACAGCUAAGGUCCCAAAGUACGUGUUAAGUGGAAAAGGAUGUGGGAUUUCAUAGACAACUAGGAUGUUGGCUUAGAAGCAGCCAUACAUUUAAAGAGUGCGUAAUAGCUCACUAGUCGAGAAAACCUGCGCCGAAAAUGUAACGGGGCUAAAACACGACACCGAAGCUACGGAUUCCUUACAAAGUAAGGAGUGGUAGAGGAGCAUCCUGCAAGGACGAAGCCAAAGUGAGAGCGAUGGUGGACGAAACAGGAGAGAGAAUGCCGGAAUGAGUAGCGAGAUACAUGUGAGAAACAUGUAGGCCGAAUAUCUAAGGAUUCCUGGGUAAAGCUAAUCUUCCCAGGGUUAGUCGGGGCCUAAGGCGAGGACGAAAGUCGUAGUCGAUGGAUAACAGGUUGAUAUUCCUGUACUACACAUAAUCAGAACUGUGGGGACGCAGGAGGAUAGGGAAACCGGGGAAUGGAAAGACCCGGUCAAGCGUAAAGCUGUGGGAGAUAGGCAAAUCCGUCUCCUGUAAGUGAAACGUGAUGAGGACUGAAAAAAAGUAAGGAAGUUUCCGAAUCCACACUGCCGAGAAAAGCCGCUAUUGCGUUAUGUGUACCCGUACCGUAAACCGACACAGGUAGAUGAGGAGAAAAUCCACAGGCCGACGGGAGAAGUGUUGUUAAGGAACUCGGCAAAAUGACCCCGUAACUUCGGGAUAAGGGGAGCCUACGCGAGUAGGCCGCAGAGAAUAGUCUCAAGCGACUGUUUAGCAAAAACACAGGUCUAUGCUAAAUCGAAAGAUGAUGUAUAUGGGCUGACGCCUGCCCGGUGCUGGAAGGUUAAGGGGAAGUGUUAGAGCAAUCGAAGCACUGAACUUAAGCCCCAGUAAACGGCGGCCGUAACUAUAACGGUCCUAAGGUAGCGAAAUUCCUUGUCAGGUAAG